UAUCUUGCUAUGAAGGGGACGAGUAAGUCAGUCCGAUCGUUCAGAGAGGAAAGGCCACCGGCUGCAAGCCUUUCCCGAUGCCGCUGCCUGAAAACCACCCUGGAGCUGUUUACUGAAACUAGUAAGUAAACCGGUGGGCACCGUUAGCGCCUAAGAGGUGGGAGCAAUGAUGCUCCAACCAGGGUGGAACCGCGGAUUAUCCCCGUCCCUGAG
rnacentral:ncRNA from 1 species